rnacentral:sRNA from 1 species
UGAUGUUUUUCCAGAAUUCGCGCUCUGACGGAAGCUGAUGCUCUGCUAUUUACUGA